GUGCAAUGCGGCUGCUACCAUGCAGUCGAACGGUAAGGCCCCUUCGGGGGUACACGAGUGGCGAACGGGUGAGUAACACGUGGGUGACCUGCCCUGUACUUCGGGAUAAGCCUGGGAAACUGGGUCUAAUACCGGAUAUGACCUUCUCCUGCAUGGGGGUGGGUGGAAAGGUUUUGCGGUACAGGAUGGGCCCGCGGCCUAUCAGCUUGUUGGUGGGGUAAUGGCCUACCAAGGCGACGACGGGUAGCCGGCCUGAGAGGGCGACCGGCCACACUGGGACUGAGACACGGCCCAGACUCCUACGGGAGGCAGCAGUGGGGAAUAUUGCACAAUGGGCGAAAGCCUGAUGCAGCGACGCCGCGUGAGGGAUGACGGCCUUCGGGUUGUAAACCUCUUUCAGUAGGGACGAUGCGCAAGUGACGGUACCUACAGAAGAAGCACCGGCCAACUACGUGCCAGCAGCCGCGGUAAUACGUAGGGUGCGAGCGUUGUCCGGAUUUACUGGGCGUAAAGAGCUCGUAGGCGGUUUGUCACGUCGUCUGUGAAAACCCGAGGCUUAACCUCGGGCUUGCAGGCGAUACGGGCAGACUUGAGUACUGCAGGGGAGACUGGAAUUCCUGGUGUAGCGGUGGAAUGCGCAGAUAUCAGGAGGAACACCGGUGGCGAAGGCGGGUCUCUGGGCAGUAACUGACGCUGAGGAGCGAAAGCGUGGGUACCGAACAGGAUUAUAUACACUGGGAGUCUACGCCCUAAACACUGCGUGCUACGUGUGGGUUUCUCUCUGACGGGAGCAGUGUCGCAGCUAACACAUAAAUUUCCCCGUCCCCCGGAGUAGUGCCCGCACGGCUGCAUAUCCCCGAGAGGGACGGGGGGGGGGCUCUAGGUGUUCGGACAGAGGAUUAAAUAUCUGCAACGCAGAGUCAUAUACCUGGAGUAGGCCUGAACACGCUCGCACCCACAGUAUUAGCCGGCCUUCGCCUGACGAUACUGACGGGUGUUUCUGAAUGCCACGACUUGGGCCUGCAGCUAGGAAAGUACACACACGGAGCCUUUUCUCUGCUGCAGCGUGAGUGGUACCUAGAGAUAUCGCAUCGACAAGGAGAAUGCGAUUACUGCCGGUUGACGCUUCUCG
rnacentral:rRNA from 1 species